UGCUGAGCCAGCAGCUAGAACCAGAAGCCGAAAGAACUGUUCACAUGGAGCUGUUUAUUUUCCGGCCUGAGGUUGCCGAGACAAUUGGCGAGCUGUCUUGAAUAUAUCUCUAUCAAUUAAAACAGCAGCUGAGAUAAAUAAUGCACCUUUGCCGGAACUGCCACAGGGACUGCAGGCUCAGGCUUCUCAAGCCAGCUCACCGUCCAGCUGAGCGAGAUGUCAGCCCAAGGAAGGAACUUAGAUGCCUUGGAGAUUGAUGCCUCACAGUUAUUUUCUCCAGAGAAGGUGCAGGGUCUGGGCUAGGGAAACGGAAAGGACUCUGUUGCAUUUAAUAAAGCCUGUAUCCUAUGGCAGCAGCCACUAAGGAGCUCACCAGAAUAAGCCAAUGCCAUUCCUCAUUUGGCCUGAGCAGCUCAGAGUCAGGAAAGCAGAGCGCAGAAAAUCCAGCAGCUGUCAGAGGGCUCCAUGUUUGGCCACGGUCUGAAGCAUCUGUUCCACAGCCGCCGUCGGUCUCGGGAAAGGGAGCACCAGACAUCUCAGGAUUCCCAGCAGCAGCAGCAGCAGCAGGGUAUGUCCGACCAUGACUCCCCAGAUGAGAAGGAGCGCUCUCCGGAGAUGCACCGCGUCUCCUACGCCAUGUCCCUGCAUGAUCUGCCCGCCCGGCCCACCGCCUUCAACCGCGUGCUGCAGCAGAUCCGCUCCCGGCCCUCCAUCAAGCGGGGCGCCAGCCUGCACAGCAGCAGUGGGGGCGGCAGCAGCGGGAGCAGCAGCCGGCGCACCAAGAGUAGCUCCCUGGAGCCCCAGCGUGGCAGCCCUCACCUGCUGCGCAAGGCCCCCCAGGACAGCAGCCUGGCCGCCAUCCUGCACCAGCACCAGUGCCGUCCCCGCUCUUCCUCCACCACCGACACUGCUCUGCUGCUGGCCGACGGCAGCAACGUGUACCUCCUGGCUGAGGAGGCCGAAGGCAUCGGGGACAAGGUCGAUAAGGGAGACCUGGUGGCCCUGAGCCUCCCCGCCGGCCAUGGUGACACUGACGGCCCCAUCAGCCUGGACGUGCCCGAUGGGGCACCGGACCCCCAGCGGACCAAGGCCGCCAUUGACCACCUGCACCAGAAGAUCCUGAAGAUCACCGAGCAGAUCAAGAUCGAGCAGGAGGCUCGCGACGACAAUGUGGCGGAGUACCUGAAACUGGCCAACAACGCGGACAAGCAGCAGGUGUCACGCAUCAAGCAAGUGUUCGAGAAGAAGAACCAGAAGUCAGCCCAGACCAUCGCCCAGCUGCACAAGAAGCUGGAGCACUACCGCCGGCGCCUGAAGGAGAUUGAGCAGAACGGGCCCUCGCGGCAGCCCAAGGACGUGCUGCGGGACAUGCAGCAGGGGCUGAAGGACGUGGGCGCCAACGUGCGCGCAGGCAUCAGCGGCUUUGGGGGCGGCGUGGUGGAGGGCGUCAAGGGCAGCCUCUCUGGCCUCUCACAGGCCACCCACACCGCCGUGGUGUCCAAGCCCCGGGAGUUUGCCAGCCUCAUCCGCAACAAGUUUGGCAGUGCUGACAACAUCGCCCACCUGAAGGACCCCCUGGAAGAUGGGCCCCCUGAGGAGGCAGCCCGGGCACUGAGCGGCAGUGCCACACUCGUCUCCAGCCCCAAGUAUGGCAGCGAUGAUGAGUGCUCCAGCGCCAGCGCCAGCUCAGCCGGGGCAGGCAGCAACUCCGGGGCUGGGCCUGGUGGGGCCCUGGGGAGCCCUAAGUGCAAUGCACUGUAUGGUGCUCCUGGAAACCUGGAUGCUCUGCUGGAAGAGCUACGGGAGAUCAAGGAGGGACAGUCUCACCUGGAGGACUCCAUGGAAGACCUGAAGACUCAGCUGCAGAGGGACUACACCUACAUGACCCAGUGCCUGCAGGAGGAGCGCUACAGGUAUGAGCGGCUGGAGGAGCAGCUCAACGACCUGACUGAGCUUCAUCAGAACGAGAUGACGAACCUGAAGCAGGAGCUGGCCAGCAUGGAGGAGAAGGUGGCCUACCAGUCCUAUGAGAGGGCACGGGACAUCCAGGAGGCCGUGGAGUCCUGCCUGACCCGGGUCACCAAGCUGGAGCUGCAGCAGCAACAGCAGCAAGUGGUACAGCUGGAGGGCGUGGAGAAUGCCAACGCGCGGGCGCUGCUGGGCAAGUUCAUCAACGUGAUCCUGGCGCUCAUGGCCGUGCUGCUGGUGUUCGUGUCCACCAUCGCCAACUUCAUCACGCCCCUCAUGAAGACACGCCUGCGCAUCACCAGCACCGCCCUCCUGGUCCUCGUCCUGUUCCUCCUCUGGAAGCACUGGGACUCCCUCACCUACCUCCUGGAGCACGUGUUGCUGCCCAGCUGAGUGGCCAGCCACACCAACCCCGUGCUCUCUGGCCCCCAGCUGGCCACACUUCUCCAGGAGGGACCCUUGGACUUCUUUGUGUGUCCAGUUUGGCCUCCUGCCCAAACUGUCCAUUCCAGCAGCUCCUGCCCCCUUCUCUGUACUUGCUUCUGUCUGACACCUUCUCCCUGUUGGCCUGAAGGGAGCUUAGAAUGCAGCCCUACCUGGAGAUAGUGCGGGCACCUGUGGCCAAGUGGAGCAGAGGUGGACAUGGGGUUGGAUUGUUUUGAUUAUUUAUAGUUACACAAGGACUUCUCCCAGCUGACCCUCAGGAUGCCCCAAGUCAGGAAGACCAUUAAGAAUAGGAGGAGAGGGCUCUGCCUCAACUUUCCUAGGAAAGAGCCCACCUCGGAGAUAGCUACGGUUUCCUCUGGUGGAGAUGGUGAGGAUGAAGGCUGGAGAGUGAGGGAGGAGGCUCUGCUGGCCGCAGAGAACACAGGGAUGGGAGGGUCCCUAGCCUUCGGGCACCUCCAGGGCCAGAGAGCAGGCUCAGAGCAGCUAGUGUGGAGCUCAGCACCCCCACCCCACCCCUCCUCCCUGUAGAGCUGAUUUGAGGCCUCCUUCUGGGGCUGGGCUCUGCAGGCCAGGUGGGUGUGGCCUGUGUUUUCCCUUCUGUUCUUUCUGCCUGUACUGGAUCUGUUAUUUUCAGGGAAACAGGCCCCAGGGCCCCCCUGAGCCUCACCCUAAGCCCUUAGGCCUCUGGGAGUGCUGUUGGGUUCUAUUUAUUUAUUUAUUUGUUCCUUUGUUCCCUACCCGUGCCCCCAGUGUCUUCCCUGCUGAGCACCAGGAGAGGUCCUGCCCCAUCCUCUCUCUGAAGCCAGGGCCCUUCCAUUCCAUUUAGCCUUUGGAUCAUCCUGGCUGGGAGAAGUGGGACCGAGCCACCCAGCCCCACUAUCCCCAAGCAGCCCUACAGCCGGGAUGGGAGGCACGUGGCCUCUCUUUUAUCCGUCUAUUUAUUUUGUAAGUGUGUAUUCGUGUGGAGGAGGUUGUUGCUUUAUUUUUUUAAGGCUCUGGAGUGUUGUGUAUGGUUUCUUUUCACAUCCCAGCCUCCCAUGGGCACUUCCAAGAAGAGAGGGGAUUUCUUGGAAAAGGAGAGAGGAAUCCCCUAGAGCAGGGAAAGCAGUGCCUGCCAGCUGUUGUGCACCUUCCUGAGAAAUAAAUAUCCUCUAAAUUUUCAAACCA
rnacentral:sRNA from 1 species